UUUUUUUUUUUUUUUUUUUUUUUUAAGCAGACAGCAAGAUUUAGAAUUUGUUUGUUUGUUUCAGAUACACAUCAAGAAAAAAUUAUGAUGUAAAAUUCUUAUUUAAAGUCAUCCAUUUCUGAAUAGUUUAUGAAAGGACUUCUUGUACAAUUAUGUUUGAAAAUGAUGCUUUUCCCCCUUUGAAUCAAGGUUCAGUCAUGCCAUGAGAGCUCAACAAACAGUACAUUUCAGAAGAGGGAACACAUGUGUGAUGUUGGUUCUAACGUUCUUAGUCUUUUCUUUAAUAGAAACUUUUUCUCCUAAAGUUGAUAUGUACAUACCUGAAGUUUAAGAAGAAAAUAAUUUAAGUCUUUGUGCUUGACAGAAGGGAUUUCAGAUCAAUGUCUCCUUCCUGCCCAUCUUUUGCUCAGGGCCACAGUCCAGCAUUGAAUAUGGUUGUGGAGACUAACAGCAAGCAAGUUGAGAGAACAUCUUUGUGCUCAGAUGCUGGCUUAGUGGGAUAGUGGAAAGACACGAUGAAGCAAAGUGCUCUGAAUAAGAGAGGAUGGACCACCAACAAAAUUUAGUUCUGCAGAAGACGACAUUCUGGAGACAGCAUAGGAGAUGGUGAAAGGAGCAAGAGACGGAGAGAGGGCAGACUGAGUCCACCCUGUUUGAAAUGCCUGUUGGGCUCAAGUGAAUGAGCAUUUAAGGCAUUUUCUGAAGUUAAGAAUCCAUUUUUGAUGGGACCAAGAUUAGAAUUUUAGCUGCAUCAUUUUUUGUUUGUUUAUUUGUUUGUUUUUGAGACAGGGUCUUUCUCUGUAGUCUAAGUUGGUUUUGAACUGGCAGUCUUCCUAUGUCAGCUUCCAAGGAUUAUAGACGUAUACUACCACACCAGGGCGAGUCUUCCCCAUUCUAAGGUUUCUUAGACAAUGAAGUAUUGCCUAUCCCCAGAAACAUUUUAUAGGAGAUUUUCUCAAUAUAAAAGAU
rnacentral:lncRNA from 1 species